CUGUGUGUAGAUGUGUAUGUAGCUAAGUGUGUGUGUGUUAGAUGUGUAUGUAGCUAGAUAUGUGAAGAUAUGUGUGCAUAGCUAGAUGUAUGUGUGUAGAUUAUUGUGUGUAUAGCUAAAUGUAUGUGUGCAGAUUAUUGUGUGUAGCUAGAUGUAUGUGUGUAGAUGUGUGUAGCUAGGUGUGUGUGUGUGUAGCUAGAUGUCUGUAUGUGUGUAGAUGUGUAGCUAGAUGUGUGUGUGUGUGUGUAGCUAUGCAUAUGUGAAAGUGUGUUUACAG